rnacentral:rRNA from 1 species
GUGCUGAAAGCAUCUAAGCACGAAACUUGCCCCGAGAUGAGUUCUCCCUGAGACUUUAAGUCUCCUGAAGGAACGUUGAAGACGAUGACGUUGAUAGGCCGGGUGUGUAAGCGCAGCGAUGCGUUGAGCUAACCGGUACUAAUGAACCGUGAGGCUUAACCUU